rnacentral:rRNA from 1 species
CCUACGGGUGGCAGCAGUGAGGAAUAUUGGUCAAUGGGCGCGAGCCUGAACCAGCCAAGUCGCGUGAGGGAAGACGGUCCUAUGGAUUGUAAACUUCUUUUGUAGGGGAGCAAAAGACGCCACGCGUGGCGUUCCGAGAGUACCCGAAGAAAAAGCAUCGGCUAACUCCGUGCCAGCAGCCGCGGUAAUACGGAGGAUGCGAGCGUUAUCCGGAUUUAUUGGGUUUAAAGGGUGGGCAGGCGGAAGAUCAAGUCAGCGGUAAAAUUUAGGGGCUCAACCUCUUAGAGCCGUUGAAACUGGUUGUCUUGAGUGAGUGAGAGGUAUGCGGAAUGCGUGGUAUAGCGGUGAAAUGCAUAGAUAUCACGCAGAACUCCGAUUGCGAAGGCAGCAUACCGGCGCGCAACUGACGCUGAUGCACGAAAGUGUGGGUAUCGAACAGGAUUAGAUACCCUAGUAGUC